GCUAGAGAAAGACAAUUUGAAGACAACUUAGUCAAUAUUAUUAUAAAAUUACUUGAAACACAACUACAUAAAUAGCUAUUAAACUCCACUUGAACAAAUCAUAGCCCCAUUUACAGUCUUUGAACCCAAAACCAAAACUAUUUCUUUUACAUUACACAUAAAUUAUUCAUUAGACACCAUCUAAUUAACAGUGAGAUUCCACAACUUAGACUAAAACACAAAAGUUGAAAUAGAACUAGAAACCUCUCUGGCUCUCCCUAAAACUUAAUCAAUCCAAAAUCCAGAUGAUCUCAUGGAGAUCAGUAAUGAAACAUCUCUGCAGCAGAAGCCAUGAUGGGCUGGUUCAAAUAUGACAGAUUCAAUGGGUUGAAGAAGCUGUCAGUGGGCUCAUUGAAGCUGCUUGAAUCUCCAGCAGCAAAAACCCCAUUGCUUGCAUUCAAGAAACUCGCAAUCUCAUUCAGAGACUGCAGUCUGUUGCUAAGCUCAUCCGCUUGGGCUCUGAGAACAGAGUUCUCUGCCUCAAUGUUCAUGUAAUGCUGACUUGUGAUGUUCACGCUGGUGAUGAUCUGAUUGUUCUCCUUCUUCAGUUCAGC
rnacentral:lncRNA from 1 species